UUGGGCAUAAACUUGUGAACAAAUUACCCCAAAUAGGAAAUGUGGGAGCCCUGGACUGGGAGAGCCAGGAGCACAAGCAAAUGCUAAAUGAACCAGAGUAUAGACAGUGUUGCCUGCGUAUUACUAUCUUCUUGUUUGUACUGCUUUUCCUUUUGCGUUUCCGCUUUCAUUUUUUUUUUUUUUAAAUCUUCUGUGACUAGCAAGUGCCUGAGAGGUGAGGGAAUGAGAUUUUUCAGCUUUUCACGGCCCUCUGUGCGUCUCUCUCCUCGGUGUCAAGAGCACAACUCGGGAAAAAACAAAGCCCAGUGGACCUGACUUUGGCUCACAUGUGCGCACUUGCGGUCUUCAUUUCUGGUCCUCGUCUUAAAGUCGAGAAAUGCUUUGCUAGGCUUAUUCUGGUAUUUCCAUAAUCCCUGUGCCUGUGCCCAGAAAUCUUGCUACAAGGUCCCUAGGAAUGGAUGAUAAAGCCAGACUUCUGGUUUUAUCAUCACUGGGGCUUUCUUUGCAUCCAUAAAGUAAGAUUUAUGCUAAGCAAAUGAAUGUGUAGACUUUUUAAUUUUUAAAAUAACGUCCUUAUCUUUCCCCCUUUAGGACUUACUGAUUAUGACAGUCUUUCAACAUUAAGGUUUUAAUGCCAAAAUUGCUGCUGCUUUUUUUUUUUUUUCCAAGGGACUGGGUAACUACUUUUAGAUAGUUCUGACUCCUCGGCUCAUUUGCUAGGACAGCCAAAUUUUGCCAGGGGUUUUGAGUUCAUCUCUGUGAACUGGUCAGUGCCUCAGUUGGAUAAAUAUGACAUUGUUUCAACAGCAGUUGCCUGAUUGAUCAUCUUCUCUAGCUGGUGUUAUUGCUAUUGUUGCCUUCUUGUCAGAAUGUUGGCUUUCUUGAAGAUGACUUGAUUGUGUCAACUGCAGGGGAAUUAUACAUUUCAGUUAAAUCUUUCCCUAUCUUGGCUCUAUAUGGAUUUGCUUGUUUGGAACACAUUUAUUUAUGACUGCUUACCCUUCUCAUGGCUUCUCUCUUCUUUUGCUCUUUCUCCUCCACCUUCUCCUUUCUCCCCCCUCUAUGCUGAGGUGAGGUGUGAUUAAGUCAAAUAAAUGAAAGUGUGAAGAAUGGUGUACAUGCAUGAAGUUCUCAGGGAGUAUUUGUGUGUCUGAUGAACGCUUCACUCUCUUAUGUGGCAGGUGUAUUGUCCCAGUGUAAGAGGUACAGAGCUGCCGAACACCUUGCCAGAGUCACACGGCUUUAACAGAAUCUCUGGUUUUCCAGCUGGAAAUAUGGAUACCCAGAAAACACACCUUAUUUAGCAGCUUCCCUUGCGAGAUGUGGCCCUGUUGCUGAGUUCUAACUAACGAGAUGGGGGCAGAAAGAUCAUGUGGAAGCAUCUGGUAAUUUUCCUUAAGGCACCCCGUGUCUGCUCUCUGCCCUCUCUCUUCUUUGACCCUUCCUCUGUCUUGCUGCUACCACACGGAUGUGGCCACUCCUAGGGAUGACAGAGUGAGGGGACAAAGCGGGUUGGAGCCUUGAGGACUGCAGAGUCGCCACACCAGCCCUGGACUGCCUACCUGGACCUUCAAAGGAGCCUGAAAUAAUUGCAUAUUUGUGUUCGCCUCUCUUUGGGCAGAUUUUCUGUUACUGGCAGUCAAAACUAAUCCUCAGUAAUACAAAACCCAAAAUUUGGUUCUAUUAACUCACGUACCUUAUUACAAAUAUUUUAAAACUUCUCUCCUCAUUCAUUCUGCCCUCCCCACCAUCUGUCUCACAUGUCAUUGAUAAAUGAUCUCUUAAAGUCCUGGCUGGAUCAUAUCACCUCUCACCUCUUGUAACCCAUGUUUGAAAUCUUCAGUGUCUUCCCUUUUCCCUCUCACCAUGUUACGCCUCCCCAGCCUGGUAUGUAAGGGCUGCGAUCUACACCCACCCUACCUUCCCAGCCUUCCUGCAGCACUCCUUCUGCUUGGCUUAAACGGCCCUCUUUUCCUGAACGGUCGAUCUUCUUCUCUGUCUCUCAAAGUUCUCCACAAUCAAGGCCCAUCUGUACUAUCCCCUUUCCCAGGCACAGGACAGGACCCCUCUCUCCACGCUACAUCCACACCACUGAGUCUCUCUCACCUGACAGUUAUACUCCGGGUGCCCUUUAAUUAUUCUGUCCUUAUUUUAUUUCCAUCCUAGAGAGCAAAUUUUGUGAAAACAGAAACUAUAUUGAUUCCUCUGUGUAAUCUCUACUGCACUUG